rnacentral:rRNA from 1 species
AGUGAACGCUGGCGGCGUGCCUAAUACAUGCAAGUCGAACGGAGUGGCGCACGGGUGAGUAAUGUAUAGCUAAUCUGCCCUACACUAGAGGACAACAGUUGGAAACGACUGCUAAUACUCUAUAGUGUAGGAUGAGGCUAUCUUGUAUCAGCUAGUUGGUGAGGGAAUGGCUCACCAAGGCUAUGACGCAUAACUGGGCUGUGAGGAUGAGCAGUCACCCUGGAAGUGAGACACCGUGCAGGCUUCUGCGGGAAGCAGCGGUAGGGAAUAUUGCUCAAGGGGGGAAACCCUGAAGCAGCAACGCGGCGUGGAGGAUGAUACUUUUCGGAGCGUAAACUCCUUUUGUUAGGGAAGCGUUACCUAACGAAUAAGCACCGGCUAACUCCGUGCCAGCAGCCGCGGUAAUUC